AACAUGGUUGCACGCAUUCGAUCGUAGUGGAAUGCGAUUCGAAGCAGGCGGUUUGCGAUUCGAACGUAGCUGAAAACAGGUUGUCGGCAAGGAUGCUUCUAUGAAUCCACUCUUCAUAAUGACAGGCUUUUGAGCUCGCAUCAAGCAGAUAUAUACCAGCUUUUUAACGGCUAGAGGAGCCUCAUACCAGUUGGUUCCAUAGAUUGCAUCAGAAACGGAUACACUCUACAGUGAUCCAAUACAGGAGUUUUAGCGAGAU